CAGAGACAGUUCCAAUCAGGACGGACACUUCCCUCUAUUAAAAGCAGAUCUCAUCUCGUGUCUAAGAUGAAAGAUGAUACUCUAUCUAUGUGAUUUCCUCCUCCGCUGUCACUUCAUCGAGUCUCUUUCCGCGCUCCCGUGGAAAUGCCGUGGAAGCCAAGCCCCGACGAGCUUUCCCUUCCAGAUCCCUUCUUCUUCUUCUUCUUCUUAAGGAAUAUUUUCGAUCCAGAGGGAGGCACCACACAUCCAUCGUCUGCAGAAGAAACCUUAAACCAAUAUCCGCAGAAUUUGAGAUUGGCUUCUUGAGCAGGAUGGGGAUAGGCAUACUUUGGUCUGUCUUAUCAUUUGACUGCAAAAUUGACAGCAUCUAGGGGCUGGGGGACGAAGAUAUUGAACUAGACUGGAAAAACUGAGGAAAUGAGAUAGUCUUGCUCAUUAAAAAAGAAAAGUUCAAGAAUAGUGAAAAAGGUGGAAAUAGAUAGUUUCUGGGCAUUGCAUGGAGAGGAAGGUUUUGGAAGGCUCUAUCCGGAACCAGAAACACAGGAGAUCCUGAACUCCCGUAGAAUCGGAACAAAAAUAGCCGCAGAGGCUACAAGACACUGGAUAUUCCCGCAGUCCCUCCUCUGUUAAGGUGCCAUCUGGGGCGGCUGUGCACACGCGGCAAAAUAAGGUGCAAAAGUAGCAGAAAUCCGAAGGGGGAUCAAAAAGGUGCAGAGGUUUUUGUACAAAGUACUACGUAGUAUUUAUUAGAGCUGCUUCUCCAAGAGUUCAAGUUGGAACUUUCAAGUCUGUCGGGGAGCAAACGAUUGAAGGCGAUCCAUCCAUACGCGAUAUCAAUUGGCCGGCCCCCUUUUCCAAGCCGUAAUCGCAAGCCACGAUUAUUCUUAAUUUUGACAGUAACUGCACCUCUGGGUCCGCGCGUCCAAGCCGACAAAAGCGCCUCAAAUUUAUAUAGAUAUAGAUUUUCUCUUCGAGCAGGUGGUUGUUGGCGUAUAAAUUUACGCCUAUGCCCAUGAUUAUUGUGCAUUUUAAUUAUAGCAAAUAUGCUACGACUAGCAUCAGUUAAUAAUUCUAACAAAA